GCUGGAUGUGGUGGUGCACACCUGUAAUCCCAGCAACUCAGGAGGCUGAGGCAGGAGGACCGCAAGUUCAAGAAUCAGCCUCAGCAAUUUACUGAGGCCCCAAGCCACUCAGUGAGAUCCUGUCUCUA
rnacentral:sRNA from 1 species